rnacentral:ncRNA from 1 species
UGGGCAGUAUCUUCUUAGAACUGCACCUUUUUGUAGAAAAAUGACAAUUAAAAAGGUUUCUGCCUAGAUCCGUACUACGGACCGGGACAGAGGG